AAGACACAUCAAUCUUCAUCAUCUUUAAAUAAAAAGGAUAAACAUUAUGGAUUUCCAUUAUCUCAAGCAAACUUUCAAUAUUAUGUGUUGCUUCUCUUAAAUGAGAUAAAAACCCAAGGAUGCAAAAAACUUAAUAUAAAAUAGUGUGAAGAAGAAGUAGUAACUGAAAUGAACAGCAUAAUAAAAUUUGAUAAGUUUGACUCAGCACUUGACAAUGUUUCAUCUAGUAACUCUGUAGUAUCUCUGCAGUUAAACAAAGAGUUCAAAAUAUUAGUGGUAAGAACUGUCAAAAACUUGUGAUAGCUAUGAUGAAGAAAUUUGUGACAAAUUCGCUCAUGGCCAAAUCUAAUAUGGCAGCUGGAAAAGGCAAAGGAUCUUUUUAGCCUAACUAAGCUAUACAACUUAAUAAAAGUUUGUGCAUCGACUUCUCACGAAUCAUACACAGAGUCGAUUGUCGAUGCAAUAAUUGCUGAUUCGUGAAAACGGGCAACUUUUGCUUGUCUUAAAGUGCCUUAAAUCCAUCGUUAUAAUAUUACUUUGUUUGUAAAUUGUUUUGAAAAAUAAAUUUAAAAAUAACUUUUAAAUAAA